AAGUCAAUCUGUUUGUUGGAAAGACAGUAGUUGAGUGAUUACUGAGAGAAAAUUAUUAAAAUAGAUAAUUAUUCAGUGUUGUUACUUUAAAGUGUUGUUACUGACCUUUUUCUCUUUUAUUUUCUUUACCUCACCUGUAACUGCUGAGACCCUGAGGAACAUGCACACUGGACUGACCUGCUCUGGCAACCUGAUUUCCACUCUCCAUCCAUCACCAUUCUCUGUUCCUGCAGGUCCUGCUUGCUAAUCAAUAUUCAUAUUUUUUUACACAAUUACAAAUAAAGUCAAUGUAUUGUAUGACAUGAAGUUGUGCUUCAUUCUGAGUCAAUAAUAAAUUCAUUCUGCCUUCAA